ACGGGUGAGUAACACGUAAGUAACCUGCCUUUAAGACGAGGAUAACAAUUGGAAACAGUUGCUAAGACUGGAUAGGAAAUUAGAAGGCAUCUUUUAAUUUUUAAAAGACCUUUUUCGAAAGGUAUACUUAAAGAGGGGCUUGCGGCACAUUAGUUAGUUGGUAGGGUAAAAGCCUACCAAGACCAUGAUGUGUAGCUGGACUGAGAGGUUGAACAGCCACAUUGGGACUGAGACACGGCCCAAACUCCUACGGGAGGCAGCAGUAGGGAAUUUUCGGCAAUGGAGGAAACUCUGACCGAGCAACGCCGCGUGAACGAUGAAGUAUUUCGGUAUGUAAAGUUCUUUUAUUGGAGAAGAAAAAAUAGUGGAAAAACUAUCUUGACGAUAUUCAAUGAAUAAGCCCCGGCAAACUAUGUGCCAGCAGCCGCGGUAAUACAUAGGGGGCGAGCGUUAUCCGGAAUUAUUGGGCGUAAAGGGUGCGUAGGCGGUUUGGUAAGUCUAUAGUUUAAUUUCAGUGCUUAACACUGUUCUGCUAUAGAAACUAUCAGACUAGAGUGAGAUAGAGGCAAGUGGAAUUCCAUGUGUAGCGGUAAAAUGCGUAAAUAUAUGGAGGAACACCAGAGGCGUAGGCGGCUUGCUGGGUCUUUACUGACGCUGAGGCACGAAAGCGUGGGGAGCAAACAGGAUUAGAUACCCUGGUAGUCCACGCCGUAAACGAUGAGUACUAAGUGUCGGGGAAACUCGGUACUGAAGUUAACACAUUAAGUACUCCGCCUGAGUAGUACGUACGCAAGUAUGAAACUUAAAGGRAUUGACGGGACUCCGCACAAGCGGUGGAUCAUGUUUGUUUAAUUCGAAGAUACACGAAAAACCUUACCAGGUCUUGACAUACUCUGCAAAGCUAUAGCAAUAUAGUGGAGGUUAUCAGGGAUACAGGUGGUGCAUGGUUGUCGUCAGCUCGUGUCGUGAGAUGUUAGGUUAAGUCCUAAAACGAGCGCAACCCUUGUCACUAGUUGCCAGCAUGUUAUGAUGGGCACUUUAGUGAGACUGCCAAUGAAAAAUUGGAGGAAGGUGAGGAUCACGUCAAAUCAUCAUGCCCCUUAUGAUCUGGGCUACAAACGUGAUACAAUGGCUGUUACAAAGAGUAGCUAAAACGCGAGUUUAUAGCCAAUCUCAUAAAAGCAGUCUCAGUUCGGAUUGAAGUCUGCAACUCGACUUCAUGAAGUUGGAAUCGCUAGUAAUCGCGAAUCAGCAUGUCGCGGUGAAUACGUUCUCGGGGUUUGUACACACCGCCCGUCAAACCACGAAAGUUGGUAAUACUCGAAAACGGUAGCCUAAC
rnacentral:rRNA from 1 species